UACGGGGGGGGCAAGCGUUGUUCGGAAUUACUGGGCGUAAAGGGCUCGUAGGCGGCCAACUAAGUCAGACGUGAAAUCCCUCGGCUUAACCGGGGAACUGCAUCUGAUACUGGAUGGCUUGAGAUUGGGAGAGGGAUGCGGAAUUCCAGGUGUAGCGGUGAAAUGCGUAGAUAUCGGUAGGAACACCCGUGGCGAAGGCGGUCUCCUGGGACGUUCUUGACGCUGAGGCGCGAAAGCUGGGGGAGCGAACGGG
rnacentral:rRNA from 1 species